AGUGCAAUUGCUGGGUCGUAGGGUAGGUCUAUUUUCCAUUUUUUGAGGAACCUCCAUACUGUUUUCCAAAGUGGCUGCACCAGUUUGCAUUCCCACCAGCAAU
rnacentral:pre_miRNA from 1 species